rnacentral:rRNA from 1 species
GACGAACGCUGGCGGCGUGCCUAAUACAUGCAAGUUGAGCGCUGAAGGUUGGUACUUGUACCAACUGGAUGAGCAGCGAACGGGUGAGUAACGCGUGGGGAAUCUGCCUUUGAGCGGGGGACAACAUUUGGAAACGAAUGCUAAUACCGCAUAAAAACUUUAAACACAAGUUUUAAGUUUGAAAGAUGCAAUUGCAUCACUCAAAGAUGAUCCCGCGUUGUAUUAGCUAGUUGGUGAGGUAAAGGCUCACCAAGGCGAUGAUACAUAGCCGACCUGAGAGGGUGAUCGGCCACAUUGGGACUGAGACACGGCCCAAACUCCUACGGGAGGCAGCAGUAGGGAAUCUUCGGCAAUGGACGAAAGUCUGACCGAGCGACGCCGCGUGAGUGAAGAAGGGUUUCGGAUCGUAAAACUCUGUUGGUAGAGAAGAACGUUGGUGAGAGUGGAAAGCUCAUCAAGUGACGGUAACUACCCAGAAAGGGACGGCUAACUACGUG